GCCAGUAGGGUGGUUAUGACACUCGGCUUGCAUUCGAGAGGGCUCGGAUUCGAAUCCCGAAUACGGCA